rnacentral:lncRNA from 1 species
AUCCUCUGUAAUGCCUCAUAUAGCUCUAUGUACAAUGAAAAAUGGAAAAACGGAGGAGGGAUUGCAAAAUGUCUUGGAUUAUAAGUGAAUGCUACUAAAAUGUGUUCAUAUUGUAGUAUAAUUUUUAGAAAAGAAAAUUCAUGAAACACUGACAUCAUUUAAGGGUAUGGAGAGAAUAAUGUUGUUCUCUCCAGUUAGCUACAGGAGAGUCCCAAAGACAAAACGAAAUGCUUUCAGAAGAGAAAAUGAGAAUCUAUGCAGUUUAAAGGUCUUCCGAAAAGGAACUCUUUUCUUAUUAGGGCAAAAACCAUUGUAGAGUCUAGUAUUUUAGGAUCGCCAGGGAAGAGUCUGAGUGUUUGCUCAAAUAUAUUUACCAACAGUUUUUGAAAGUGGGGAAUUUCUGCACCUGUCAUACAGUCUGGCUGGCAACACUUAUCCAUUUCUUUUUCUAUUUAUUAAACAAGUCUUUAUGUGUUUGGAGCAUACAAAGUGCAGGACAUUGUGCUAGAUAUUAGAGAAAGAAAAUCAAAAUACAGAGCAUUAAAUAAAUUAUCAAUUUAGUGCAGAAACUGUGGCAGGAGCAAGAAUAAGCUUUAGGAGGUCAGUAAUAUUGUAUUCAAUAUUUUAUGUAUUUCAUGACUUUUUUUGCUGAGGAGAGUAUCCAUAUAUUUCAUCAUAGUCUCAAAUGACUGUCAAAAGUGAGGCUAGUAAGCACUGAGCAUGUGUAGAAACAAACAAAAAACAGAUAAUUAUAAUAUAAUAUGAUCAAAACCAGACAAAGUUUAUGCUUCAGGGAUCCUCACUGUACAGACCUCUAUAAAGACCCUGUAAGGGGCUCAGCAAUGGACUUUAUGAAAGUCAUAUAAUUAUGAGUAAUCAAAAUUAGUCACUAUACAAGAAAAAUCUCAAACACCCUGAAAUAUUACAUCGCAUACAUAAAAGACUUAAUAGAGGUUUUCUAAAAUUUGACAAUAGUAAAUUUAAUUAUUUAUCUCAUUACCAAUAACAAGCUGUGAAGCUGAAUUUUCUUUUCUAAACUAUUAAUAAUACAAAAUGAAUUUUUAUUAAACAUACUAGGGAAAGGCAAAUGCCUUUCAGUUCUUGCCGUAGAAAUUAUAACAAAAUAAUUCUCUUAAGGGAGGUAAUUAAAUAAGCAAUUUAAAAACUAUAGGGAAAAGGUAUCAUAAAAGUGAGUUAGGAAGUUGAUUAAUGUAAUACUGAGGGGAUUAAAUUUUGUGAUGUUUAUGGUGUUUUCAACCUUUUAAUAUUUAUAAUUUGUUGCAGCUUCUUUCUUAUGCUAAAUAAAUCCUCAUUUUCAUACUUAUUUUCUGCAAUUGUAACUUGGUAUUAUUUUUCUUAAAGUGGGCCCCUCAUCUUGUACGUGCAUCAGGCCCAAAAACUUAAUUUCACCUCUGACUGUGAUCAACAUAUUGAUGAAGGUAGGUGCUAUUUCUUAUAAGAACAAAAAGGAAAAGCACUUAAAUCAAGCUAAUCUAAGAGGACUUACACAGAAGAUAUAAAAAUGAACAUGCCUGACCCAACACCAAUCAUCUCCUGGAUUUUGAAUCCAUUUCUAAUCAAUGCUUUCUUUGCCCUGAUUCAAGUUUCCUUAUAUUCUCUUCUUAUACCUUCCCUUGUGCUUUCUGGAGUCUUCCUUUAAAGACAAAAGGAGAGAGAGAGAGAACCAACUCCAUCCUGUACCUCUUCACAGAAAGCUCCCUACAUCUACUUACCGUAUUGAACCUGAGCUUUAAUAGAAUUUACUGCUUGCCUAAAGGCUUCCUCUUGAGAAACUCCAUCCUCAGAAGUCACAUGCACCACAAGGACCAGAGUUCCUGUUCUCCACAGCCCACAACAUGAACACCAAAUCAUUUAUCCUGCAAUAUCUGACUACACUAUUUUUAGAUGUCUCUUCAACCACCCUUAUCACACUUGGACAAAAUUCAAAGGCUCUGGCCUCUGACUGAUAAAAUUAUUCUCCACCAAAAUUCCUACCCUCAACUUAAAGUAAUAUUAGCAAGUAUAUAGAAAACCCAUCUGAAAACAAGACAGGGUUUUUUAAAGUUUUUUUUAACCUCUUCAAUUCAUCUUCAGUGUAAUUCAGCCCACCCACUCAUAGUCAUAAUGUAUACCUUGUCAACACACAAAAAAUUUCAUAUAUCCUAAUCAAUUUACCAACAAUUUUAGUUCUCCCAGCUCUCCCCCUUACUUCUGCUAUACCUGUUUCUCAAACCCAAAGAAAACCCAAAUACUUUUCUUUCAUCAUCCCCCAUUUCUCUUAAUGUUCUUGUCUUCCAAUCCAUUCAGCUCUGCUACCAGUUUCAUCCCUUCAAGCACUGUAUGCCAAAAUCUUUGACUCUAGAGAGUCCUAAAUGUGACAGAGAUUGUCGGGGAAUGGGGGGUGGGCAGGAACUGCAUUAAUUCUUCACAUACUUCCUCCACUCCUACAUCAAAGCUACUAAUGCUGCUCUGAAAAAAAAAAAAUCCCAAAACCAAUGUGUUUGUGAAAGGCUUAAAAAGAGAAUAUAGAAAUCAAAACUGAAAUGGCUUGUCCUGGAUCCCCAGCCUAAGGAAUAGAGAUAUAAAAUCCAGUAGAUAUUUCAAAACUUCCUAUGCCAUAUUGCUCUUUUCUUUAUUCUCCUGGAUAUUGCAUUUGCACCUCCUCAAUCUUCUGAGUUUUCCUCAUUUAUGUAUAGUGCCAGCAGCUGAAAAUCCAUUCUCAUUGUCUCUCAAUCACAGUAGAAUUAGUUAACCAAGUACCUUUCCUUUCUAAUAUAAAGUAUUUAAGGUUUUUUUCCUUUUCUUGUCCUAGACUGGCUAUGUGGAUGCUGGAAGAUGGGGAAAACUUGUUUCAAGCUGAACAUUAUCCUUGCCAUUAACUUGCUUAAAGAGGCUGGAUUCAUCUGGGCAGUUUUCACUGCUGCAAGUUAGGCACCUUAUUCCACAAGGUGCAAGUAGCAUGGAAGAGAAAAGCAAAGUUCAUAGGCAAAACUUCCAAGAACAAAGAUCUCUGAAUUGGGAUGAAAUUCUAACUGCCAGAUUUGCUCUCUAUAUCUCUCUUGAUAUGUUUUCUACUUACUAUGGAGUGACAGUUGUUGUGGAUGGGAGGAUUGAAAAUGGGAAGAACUAAUCAAAGAUAUAAUGUUGUGGAAAGGACUGAUAAGCUACACCAACCUGUGUCAUAUUAUUCUUUUUCUUGGAGCUCAGCAUGAGAGCAGGCAAUAACAGGAGAAUAACUUUAAAAAAAUCUUUAAAACCAGACUCAUUGUCUUCAUUCCUAGGACUUACAGAGACCAAAGCUCCUGAAGUACCAUCAUUCUACCAUGGAUACUGUGAAGUGGUACCACCGUAAAUCCAUGUCCUCUAAUGUCAGCGGACUAUCAGAUCUACCCUCCUCAUCCUUCAAUUUGUCCACGUGCCUAAUUUUUCCUGGUUGUGAGACAGAAACCUGGAUUUUAGCUGAACUAAGGAGCAAAAAAUCCUGCAUCAUUUGGUAGCCUGUAGAGGGACAUGAGGAGGGGUGAGUAAAGUGCGGACCCAAAAAUCUCCUUCCCUUUCAUUUCUGAGCCUUUUUGUCCUCACACUAAGUCUGAGGGUAGAGGAAACUGCUCCCCCGCCCCCCAACACCCAUCACUCUUGGGGGUCAGGAACUUUGGCCCUGGUCCAAGCCAGUCUUUUCUAUGGCAUUUUCCUUCUUUUUGGGGGAACUGUAAUGGCAUCUAUCAUUUCUUUUACAAUAUUGGGGAUGUUUCACCCCCACCCCAGUGGCCUCAGGUACACGUACAGGAUUGACAGGUGAGCAGUUGCUCCCCGCCCCUCUUCCCUUUUGGCUGGGGCACAUGGCUGUGUCUGCUGCAUGUGCGUGCCAAACACACACACACAGGCCAACAGCCACGCAGGGCAAAAAUGAACCACAGCCACUACCCAGGCCCCAAGGCACCUCAGGGUCCCAUGCCCUGCACAAACAGCUGGCCAGCGUUCCCCACCACAUACCCCUGGCGUCUUCCCCUCCCCUGGCCAAGGGGUCCAGCUCAGUCCAAACCCCAGGGAAGAAAUAGCAAUUAAAAGUUUCUCUCCCAGUUGAAGAAACUCAUUUGCAUAAGAAUAAGAGGUUUCUUCCCCAGGCAUCUUUUUCUUUUCUCCAUUUUUCAGCAAUUAACACAGCGUUGUAUUUAGGUUUUUUUUUUUUCCUUUCUCCACCAGGUCAGAAGUUAACUUUUAUGUGAGAGGCAUUUUUUUUCCUUUUAGAAGACGUUUUACUAGGUUGGGACCCCAAUUCACAAGACACCCUUUUCUAUCCCUUGUUGGAGGAAGACUCAAAUUCACAGCUUCACCUUAGCAUUCUGCUUAUAAGGAGUUCAUGCAACCCAACCCCCCAGAAACAUUUUUGUCCCAAAUUCAAUUCCAAGUUCAGGAACUCAAAGGCUACUGACAGCAGGGGAGAUAGGGCAUACGUGGGUAAGAGAGGAUGAUCCCACCCCCUAGACCCCUCUGUUAACAUGGGUGAAAGCUGCUUUGAUACCCAUGGGUGGCAACCUGUUGUGAUUGCCAGAACUCAGAAAUAUAAGGAUGGAGUAAAGAAAGAGACAUGCUUUGCUUUCUCUACCUCAUGUACCAUGGGUAUUCGCUAGGAAAAGAAGGGAACUGGGGACACCUUGCUCCUCUCUUUCUAGAUGAGUAGCCAUUCAUCUUCCAUCUGUACCUCUUUGAAUGCAUCCUGAGUCCUGGGUCUCCUUUGAAAAAAUGCCGUAUUUUUCCUUUUUCCUCCUCUGUCCUCUGUUCACAGAUGGAAGGUUGUGUCCCCAUGCUGCAGGACACUCCCCUCAGAUGUAGCCUCCAAACUGGGAAAAGUUAACUUCCCAAGCUUUAAACUAGUUGUCUUGGGAUUGAGCUCAGUGGGGAGGGAACACAGAAGCCUGACAUGCUGGCAAAAGGGGCCUGACAUGCUGGCAAAAGGGUAAGAGUGGUUUUUUUAUUUUACCAGUUGAGCUUUUGGCCCCACUCUCCUGUGCAAACUGGUAAAGGGAAUGAUAAGGAUCACUGUUUAUAUUCUCUGUAAAGUUUGUAGAGUUUUAAUUAUAAAAAAGGAUUCAUGAGGUUGGUCUUAAGCUGUAGCCAAUCUGGUGUGCUUUGCAUGCUUCUCUAUAUGGUUCUGUAAGAAAGAGGGGUACCUUAGGUUGGGAUGUGGGCCUAGGACUCUAUAGGCCUUCUACUCAAGCCAGCCUGGAAAACUGGUCAGUGGCAAACUUUGCUGAAGGCCUCCAUCAUAUUUUAUGUACUUGGAAGGAUGACCUUUAACCAUGUGGCAGUGCUUUGUUUUAGCCUCUGCCAUUUUACAAUGGUGGCCCAGGUUCAAUCCCGGCUUAGGGAAUGAGUUCUUUCUGGUUCGAUAUCUGUGACCUUUACCAUUUGUUGAUUCUCUUCCCCUCCAUGAACUACCUUGAAUUUUCCUUUCUGUGAGCACCUGGGAAGUUACCUUUCAUAAAGUUCAAAAGCUAGAAAUAUUGGCUGCUUGGCAUGGCUAAAGUUGCAUAAUAAGGGAUUUAAAAGGACUUUCUUAAAGAGUGCUUAUCUUAACUAAAAGUGGAUAUCCAAGUUAUAGGUAUAUUUAAAACGCCUUUAUGUUUUUCUCUUCUUGGAUCUUGUUUUGUUGGAAAAAGGUUUUUUUUUUCUCAGACAGCUGAAUUCUUUUUCUCCCUUAAGGCAUGCAUGAGAGGCCCUAAAAUAAUUUCUGAUGGCCUGGGGCUGCUUGGGCAAAACAGAAAAGGUGCCACAGAUUCCAUUUUGGGAGAGACCUCUGUUUUCCUCACGGAGCCCCAGGAAUUGGAGGCAGAUGAAUCCCUCUCAAAAUCUGAUUUUGUCUUCCAGCUAUACCUGUUUUUUAGGCCCUAGAAACUGCAUGCUUUCCUAGCCAUGCUCUCAAAGGGCCCACUCAGAGGUGAACAGUCCAAUUAAGAGAUUGCAGAACAGAAAAUCUGAUAACUACUGGAUCUGCUUCUGCUUGUCUGUGUAGUUACAUAGGUGUAGUGUGUGAUGUCUAUUUUAAAAAAGAGCUCUAAUUAAUUGACUUGAAGGAUAAGCACUAGGAUCAAAUAUUUUUGAAGAAAAAAUAAACACUGUAAUGCCUUUUAGUUCAUGUGACUUUAAUCAUCAAGAAAUAAAAAAAGACUUAUGGAUUCUGAACCCCAAAAAUUUGAGACAGGUCUCAGUUAAUUUAGAAAGUUUAUCUUGCCACGGUUGAGGAUGUGGCCAUGACACAGCCUCAGGAGGUCCUGAAGACAUGUGCCCAAGGUGAUUGGGGCACAGCUUGGUUUUAUACAUUUUAGGGACACAUGAGACAUCAAUCAAUAUAUGCAAGAAGUACAUCAGUUCCAUCCAGAAAGGUGGAGACAAUUCAAAGUAAGGCCCCCCCAACUGGGGGCUUCCACGUCACAGGUAGGUGAGAGAUAGAUGGUUGCAUUUUUUUGAGUUUCUGUUAAGUAUUUCCAAAGGAAGCAAUCAGAAUAUGCAUCUAUCUCUGUGAGCAGAAAGAUGACUUUGAAUAGAAUGGGAGGCAGAUUUGCCCUGAGUGGUUCCCAGCUUGAGGGGGCCAAGAUAUUUUCCUUUCACAUUUCCCCCCUUUUCUUUUUAAAAAUCUUUUGGAGAAAGUAUUUUACAAGGAAAUGAGUCUCUGGUCUUGUUUCAUCUGAUCUCUCGUGGCUAGGAUGGUUUAUUUCUAGAUGUGUAGGUUGCAAUAGCUCAUUUUUAGCAGGUUGUAUAAAGUCUCAUGUCCUGUGAAGAGAAAAUAGUGGUGUGAUGGUUAAUACUGAGUGUGAACUUGAUUGGAUUGAAGGAUACAAAGAAUUGAUCCUGGGUGUGUUUGUGAGGUUUUUGCCAAAGGAGAUUAACAUUUGACUCAGUGAGCUGGGAAAGGCAGAUUGGGUGGGCACAAUCUAAUUAGCUGCCAGCACAGCUAGAAUAUAAGCAGGCAGAAAAAUGUGAAACGAGAGACUGGCCUGGUCUCCAUCCUCCCGUGCUGGAUGCUUCCUGCCCUUGACUAUCAGACUCCAGGUUCUUCAGUUCUACAACUUGGACUGGCUCUCUUUGCCCCUCAGCCUGCUGAUGACCUUGUGAUCAUGUGAGUUAAUGAAGCAGAAAAUGUAAAAAGAAAAAUAAGUAAAGGGAAAAACAAGUUUUCCUGUACUUGGCUAACUCACUCCAAGGCCAGCAAUAGGCAGAGCCCUAGUGGGGCCUUGAUAAUACUAUCUGAAAAGCCAGAGCCCAAAGGAAUGAGCUCCAGAGAUUCUCCCAACACCUUCCCCACCCAGAGCAAGAAUAAGAAAAACAAGUUCUUCUUAUCAGUUUCCCCCUUUGAAAUUCUUUUCCUAUACCAUUAUCCUUUGAUCUCUUCUCACAACUACUUUUGUAACUAUUUCUGCAAGUUUGCAAGGAUUUUGUAAGUUCCUGUUUUCCAGCUGUGCAGUAUGGCAAUGGUCACAAGACAUGCCUGAGUUGUAAAACCUGUCACUGUUCGAUAAACUGCCUUUGUUCUGCUUCUGUAAGCUUGCUUACCCACCUUACAGGUUUUGCACCCUUUUCAGAUGUAUAUAUAAAAGUCAAGCCCUGUCUUUGUUUGGUGCUCAGCCUUUGGAUAUGAAUCCGCUGAGUUGGUGGCCACCUAAUAAAAUCCUCCUGUUCCAACCAUUGGUCUCUCUCAUCUCCUGAUUCCUG